rnacentral:rRNA from 1 species
UACGGAGGGUGCAAGCGUUAUCCGGAUUCACUGGGUUUAAAGGGAGCGUAGGCGGUUCGGCAAGUCUUUAGUGAAAUCUCUGGGCUCAACUCAGAGUCUGCUGGAGAAACUGCCGGGCUAGAGUCCGGAAGAGGAGUGUGGAAUUCCCGGUGUAGCGGUGAAAUGCGCAGAUAUCGGGAAGAACACCCGUGGCGAAGGCGGCACUCUGGGACGGUACUGACGCUGAGACGCGAAAAGCGUGGGGAGCGAACAGG